GUGUAUUAAGGCACAGUUAUCUAAUCACAGAUCUUGAUGCGGAAGGUAAUUAAUUAAAUUUGUCCACCUAAGUUAAAUUCUUAACGAAAAUUUAUUAGAGUUCUCAGUAUAUAUUAUAACUCUUAUACUAAUGUAUUAAUUGAAUUACAAAUUAUUAAUGAGUUAUAAUAAAAUUAUUUUAACCUAUGUGGCAUAAAUUGAUUGGAGUUAUGUUACUCUUAGAACACCUAAUAACAACUCAUUUUCUAUAAAGAUACGAUUAAUUCAUCCAUAUUUAUGUUAACACUUAUCAAUUUUGGAUGUUCAUAUAUAUAUACAGGGGAAGCAUUGAUUGAAUUUGUGAGGGCCCUCUCAAUGAUUCCAAUAAUCAAAUUAAAGAUUGGAAUAGUUUUUUUGUGAGCCCCUGCUAUAGUUGCUCUAAUGUUAAUUGUAGCAAUAAACAUGUUAUAUCUCUAUGUUCACAAUAUAUAUAUAUAUAUUCCUUCUGAACCAAAGGAGGGCAAUGAUAUCAGAUUUUCUGGAAAUAUGUCUAAGCUCUUCCGCUCUCUUUCUAGACGCCUUUCUUUUUCUUCUCCAUCUUCCUCCUCCACCUCUCCAAUCCAUUCUUCCUCCAAUCCCCUUACUGAGAAAAUAGUUAGACAUUACGAACUUUCUCCCAGACACAAUAUCUUUGAAGAAGUUUGCUUCGAAGAUAUCAAUCAAGCCAUCGACAAUUGGGAGAUACCCAAAAUCCCCAAGAUGAGCUUCAUGUCCCUGAUGACAACAAAAGAAAAUCAGACUAUAUCAUCAAAACCGCUGAAAAUAAUAUUCCUCUAGGACCAGAUUCCGGUGAGGAGUUCCAUCUCUUAACCAAACAAUCUGUCAGAGAACAUGCCCGUCACUAUAGAUAUCUUCACAUAGGGUGUGUCCAAGUUGCAGUCAAACCACUCAUCCGAGAAGGCUUGAAUGCUUCCAUCCUCAUGUGUCUUAGAGAUAUUAGACACAAUGAUUUCCAAGACUCCCUUAUCGGAACAGUUGAAACAAGUCUUGGACAUGGUCCAGUUUAUUUCAACUGUUUUCCAAACAAAACGGUCAGCCUGUUAGACACCAACAUUCUUGACUCUCUCUUCCUAAACAUCCGAAUUCAUGGUCUUAACAUGAAGGAAGGAUCCAUUCCAGCCGCUUUAAUCUAUAGGAUUCAACACAAGGUCUUGAACACUUGUAAUUCUAGAGUCCUUCUUAAAUCCCAAGAUCGUGAAACUACUUUGUUUGUCACUGACAUGACAAAGGCCAACGUUAUGAUUCCAAGGCUCAUAAGGUGGGAUGAAAUUGAUCUCCCCCAGUCAUGGUCUAUUGACAGAGCUAUCCCUACACAACCUAGACAAGCACCUCUCUUACGAGAAAUAAAACAGGAUGAAUCAGGGAAAGUAGAAAUUUUCUUCGACAGAAGAAACUCUUUUUCCUCCAGAUCUGAAGCAGGGACAUCUAAUGAUUUUGCUUCAGUAAGAAGGUCUUUUUCCGUAACCUCUCAAUCUCAGUUUUCAAAAUUUUCAAAACCCGUACACUCUGAAAUCAAUAUUUCGGGAUUACAAAAUAAUUCAAACAUUUCUCAAACAAUUUAUCAAACUGAUGAUAAGCAUUCAGAUGAUGAUAUUGAGAUAGAAUCUUCCAUUCAAUCUCCAACAUACUCAUCUAUGCAUGGUGCUCAAUAUUCUUCUGUGAAUAAUGCCCAAUGAGUAGCACAGAAUUUAUCAUAAAUAGGGAAGCCUUACGUAAAAACCUUGAAUCUGAGGAAUAUGACCUCCACAGAGAAUGGUAUUUACGUACGCAUACAGCUGCUCAAAUUGCAUCAUUCAAAGAAAAAUAUUACAGUUUUCUAAAAGAAGUUAAGAUGCAUAUUCCUUUCUUUGAAUGGUUUCAUGCUUAUUCCAUAAAAAAUAAUCUGGUUUAUCCUUUCAAAAACAAAGAAAACUUGCUUUCAGCAAAUGUUAUUUCAACUUGGAAAGUUAAAGAUGGGAAUUUAGUUAGAUCUGAGUUUCCUCCAAAAGGACCUUUUGUUAUCUCAAACACGGAAGGACAUAACCCUGUUAUGGCUACUCUUUAAAUCUGGAAGUACAGGCUGUUUACUUUUAUCACUUAAGGGAACUGUAGCAGUAAGACCCUUGUUGAUGGGCAGUAAGGCUAAUUUGAUGAUGUUCUUGAAAGUGAUAAGAUCUAAACGUAAGAACUCCUGGUGACUAUGGAUUUAGAGAUUGCAAAAAAAAAAAAGAGUUAAAAUCCCAGAUCCAAAAAUUUGAGUGAUAGUUUAGUGAUAAUAUUUAUAUUCCUUCUGAACCAAAGGAGGGCAAUGAUUCAAAGAAUCAAAGAUCCCUACAAAAGCCCGCCCAAUUCAAAUGAAUGAGCAGCUUUUGCAGCAUUGUCAAAAAGAAAUAAAAGAUCUUUUGGAUAAAGGCUUAAUUCGUCCUAGCAAGAGUCCUUGGUCUUGCUCUGCUUUUUAUGUUAAUAAGCAAGCUGAAAUAGAACGAGGAACUCCUAGGCUUGUCAUCAAUUACAAACCACUGAAUGAAGCCUUACAAUGGAUUCGUUAUCCCAUUCCAAACAAAAAGGAUUUGCUUAAUAGAUUAAACUCUGCAGACAUUUUUUCAAAAUUUGAUAUGAAAUCCGGUUUUUGGCAGAUCCAAAUCACCGAAUCAGAUCAAUACAAAACAGCAUUUACAGUUCCAUUUGGACAUAUGAAUGGAAUGUAAUGUCUUUUGGUCUGAAAAAUGCCCCAUAUGAAUUUCAAAAAAUUAUGAAUGACAUUUUCAAUCCAUAUUCAAAUUUUGCAAUCGUUUACAUUGAUGAUGUUUUAAUCUUUUCCCAAACUUUACAUGAACAUUUCAAGCAUGUUAAAACUUUUAUGUACAUCAUCCAAAAAAACACUUUUGCUGUUUCUAAGUCAAAAGUUGUUCUCUUACAAACAAAAAUCCGUUUCCUUGGUCAUAUAAUCUUCCAAGGCACUAUAACUCCAAUUGAAAGAUCAAUUUUGUUGGCAGAAAAGUUUCCAUAUUAUAUCCUUGAUAAACCUCAGCUCCAGAGGUUCCUCGGAUGUCUCAAUUAUGUCUCGGAUUUCAUCCCAAAUCUUAACAAACUCAUUAAGCCUCUGUAUGAUAGGCUUAGAAAAAAUCCUCCACCUUGGACAGAAAAACAUUCUGAUAUUAUCAGGUUCCUUAAAACCAAAGUCCGCAAUCUUCCCUGUCUUUACUUACCUGUUCCUCAUGCAUUUAAAAUAGUAGAAACAGAUGCAUCAGAUUUAGGAUAUGGCGGUAUCCUAAAACAAAAAUUGCAUGAUAAAGAAUGUAUCAUUGCAUUUACAUCCAAACAUUGGAAUAGUACUCAACAAAAAUAUUCCACUAUCAAAAAAGAAAUUUUAGCCAUUGUCUUAUGCAUCACAAAAUUUCAAUCUGACUUACUCAAUUAAAAAUUUUUAGUCCGAGUUGAUUGUAAAUCGGCCAAAGAUGUUUUACAAAACGAUGUUAAAAAUCUUGCAUCAAAACAAGUGUUUGCCAGGUGGCAAGCUAUUUUAAGCAUCUUUGAUUUUGAUAUUGAGUACAUCAAGGGCAACUCAAACUCUCUCCCUGACUUUCUCACACGUGAAUAUUUGCAGGGAGAUAAGCAAACAGACGAUGCCUAAAAAGGCAACCUUAGCCUCAGCAAGAGGCAGAGGCGUUCGCCUAGCCCUAUCAGGGCCUAUCAGAAGAUCUGGGUCUAACACCCCAACAGAAUCAUCUACCUAACAACCUCAACAAUCUGGUCAUCUACCCAACAACUCACCCAACAAUCUGGGUCAUCUACCCAACAACCCACCCAAAAAUCCAUUGAACCAAAAUACAACCAAGCCAAACAAUCCAAAGCAGACUAUGCCAUCCCAAUCGAAACCCUCCUUGCCUUACAGGACCAGGGUCUCACUAAACUCAACAAAAAAUCAUGGGCUGACAUAUGCAGUGAGUCAGAUGAAGAAAUUGACUUAUCUCAAUUGAUAUCCCAAGUAGCCAAUCGAAAAAUAGUCAUACAAACAGGAAAAGAAAAGCUCAUGGACCAAACACCCCAAACAUCCUCAACCACUACCAAAACUCAAAAAGCCCAAACCAAUUACAAGUCUACAAACAAAACCGCAAAUAUUAUCCACAUAGAGCCUGAAUUCUGGGAUAGCUCUCCAAACAAAGUCAUCCCAAAGAUUUUCCCUACUGGGUUCCACUUCAGUCCUUUAGCACCCAACAAAACCCGCCAAUUUUACGAAUUCAUCUUAAUAGAUACUGACUCAGUAUCUAUUAAACAUUACAAGGAUAAAACCAAUCCUGAAUUUAUAACCCAUUCAACUAUCCAAAUUCUCAGAAUUUUGUCCCCAAAGCAAUUUGGGAACAACCUAAACAAAAUUCAAAAAUUUUCUCAAAAUUAUGACCCAAUAGGUUUUAAUUAUUGGGAUUACAUGGAAGCAUGGACUAAAGUAUUUUGGUUUCAAAAUACUCAGUUCAGACAUUCAUGGUUAAUUUACUUUAAAAGAAAAACCAAUUAUGUUUUUCCAAAUUGGUUCUACCAAUGGUGGGACUUCUUUGGACCAAUUCAAGAAAUUUUACCUUCACCAACAGAUGAAGGGUAUAAACUUUUUCAAUCAAAGUAGUCAGAAAACAUGUGUUCCUGUAAUGUUUAAAAUUUUUCUCAACAUUUUCAUUGGCAUGGGUAUUCUCAUGGCAAUACAGAUAUGCAAAACCAAACCACCCCAAAUCAUUUCCAAUCCUACAAAGGCAUGGUUACGUCAAAUGGUGGUCUCAAUUUGAUGCCUCAAUGGCCUACCCAGAGAAGGUCAGAGAAUGGUUCAAAUCCAAUCCUGAAAGUCAAAAGAUUUCAGACCCAGAAACUGCUUUGUUCCUCAAUCAAAAAGCCCAAAUUGCUGCAGCCCUCGCAGGAGCUCAAUCGAAAGAAACCCUAGCAAAAAAUCUUCAGCAAAUCAUGUAGAUGAUUGAAGAAGACAGAAAACACAAAGAUGAUCCCACUUCCACGGCAGAAUCCUCAAGCGGUUAUAACCAGAAUGAAGACGACUGCUUUGGAAUUGACCUAGGAGAAGAUUAGUCUUUAAUUAGUCUUUAAUCUUCGAAUUUCAUGUAAUCACAAAACAUUGUUAACUUGUACUGUAGAAAUGGUGCCGGUCAUGUUCACCUGUACUGUAGAAACAGUAGAAUCUUCAGCUAUAUAAGGAAGCCUUGUAUUCAUUAGGAGGCAUCCUUCAAUUUGAGAGAGAAUAGAGAGAAGUUAGAGAGAGAGACUCUGAGAGUUCCCUUGUAAGCUCUCCAGCUCUUCUUCUUCCCUCUUCUUUUAUUUCAAUCAUUCAAUAAAACUUUCAAUCAGUUCUUCAUUUUCGUGUUUUCAUAUUUACAUUUCUGCAGUUGCAUAUGUGUGCGGACUACCGCCACAUCUAACUUCAUACUAACAAUCAUAUGCGUGCGGACUACCGCCGCAUCUAACUUCAUAUUUACUUUCUUGCUCUUGCAUCUAUCAUACUGCAUUCUUACUGACUUCAUUUUCUGUCAUUCUCCCCCUUUCCCUCCUUGAUCCACUUCGGGACAUCUGGUAUCAGAGCCUGAUGGGGAAGUAGGAGUGUUAAUAUUAUCAUUAAGCUGUCUCUGAGGUUCAUGGAUCUGGAAAUUAUGUUUACUGUUCAUGUUCUUAUUUUUGGUAUAUAUCAAAACAACCACUCUUUAAAUCUGGAAGUACAGGCUGUUUACUUUUAUCACUUAAGGGAACUGUAGCAGUAAGACCCUUGUUGAUGGGCAGUAAGGCUAAUUUGAUGAUGUUCUUGAAAGUGAUAAGAUCCAAACGUAAGAACUCCUGGUGACUAUGGAUUUAGAGAUUGCAAAAAAAAAAAAGAGUUAAAACCCCAGAUCCAAAAAUUUGAGUGAUAGUUUAGUGAUAAUAUUUAUAUUCCUUCUGAACCAAAGGAGGGCAAUGAUAUCAGAUUUUAUGGAAAUAUGUCUAAGCUCUUCCGCUCUCUUUCUAGACUAGGAGAAGAUUAGUCUUUAAUCUUCAAAAUCCAUGUAAUCAAAAAAUUCAUUGUUAACCUGUACUGUAGAAAUAGUACCGGUAAUAUUCACCUGUACUGUAGAAACAGUAGUAUAUCCAAUUAUAAAAGGAAGCCUUGCAUUCAUUGAAGGGCAUCCUUCAGUUUUACAUAUGAUAGAGAGAAGUUAGAGAGAGAGACUCUGAGAGUUCCCUUGUAAGCUCUCCAGCUCUUCUUCUUCCCUCUUCUUUUAUUUCAAUCAUUCAAUAAAACUUUCAAUCAGUUCUUCAUUUUCGUGUUUUCAUAUUUACAUUUCUGCAGUUGCAUAUGUGUGCGGACUACCGCCACAUCUAACUUCAUACUAACAAUCAUAUGCGUGCGGACUACCGCCGCAUCUAACUUCAUAUUUACUUUCUUGCUCUUGCAUCUAUCAUACUGCAUUCUUACUGACUUCAUUUAUAUAUAUAUAUAUAUAUAUAUAUAUAUAUAUUCUUUUUUUUGUUCCCUUUCUUUUUCUUAUUUGGUUUUGAGUUUUGACAAUGCAUUAGUUGCUUCUUGUAGGAACUUGGCAUUAAAAGGAUUUUCUGGAACACUUUCUCCCUCAAUUGCCAAAUUGAAAUACUUGGUUAGCUUGUAUGUUGUUAUUGUCAUAGAUUCACAUUUUUUAUGAGAUUUGAUAAUUCUGAUAUUGUACGAAUCCAAGAAUCAGAUUACCAUAACUUAUCUCAAGUAGAUUAAUGGUUUUAGCUCUUGAAUUUGCAAAAAAAAUGAUUAUUUGAUUUAGUGCUCUUAGCUGAUUUAAGACUGUGCUAAUGCAGAAGAUGCCUUGCUUCCAAUUCCUAAGGUUUCUAUGAUCUUCUGAGAAAGAGAAAGCAUUUCAAGACUCUUCAGACAAAAAUACAGCAGAUGGUUUGUUUAGAAUUAGUAAAGUUGAUUCUAUCAAGAAACAAGGUACUUG
rnacentral:lncRNA from 1 species